rnacentral:lncRNA from 1 species
CGAGGGGCGGCGACACCCCCGCGCAGGGACAGGUGCCCCUGGCGGCGCGCGCUCCGAGGGAGGGCCCGGGGCACGGCCGGGAACCGGUCAUCGAAGAGCUGGAGAGGCGCGGGGCUGAGCUGCGGUCCGGGAAAGGUGGAACCAGAUCCGAGGGUGUCAGAGGAGGAAGGGCCCGCGGGAUCGUCUAUGGGGGAGCCCACGGCCCAGAAGUGGGAAAGGACAAAAUGCCCCUGAAACCUCGGAACCUCUCCGCUCCAGUAGCCAUCGGCGGGCUGCUGCACGGAGCCGGCAUCCGGUUUUUAAACCUGGCUCUCCAGUCACCAGCUGUUGACUUUGGUCAAAUUACUUAACCUCUCUGUCUUUUCCCUUAUCUGGGAAAUGGGGAUAACACACUUCAUAGUGUGACUGUGGGGUUAACUGAGUUCAUACCUACGAAGCGCGUUAUCCUGUGCUGCUCACUACACCACCUCCUGCGAUUCUUUUUUUUUUUUUUUCUUUAAUUGAAAUGGACAUAAAUGCUGAGACUCUAAGAGACUAGAGCGCCAUUCAUUGCUAUUCCAGGAAGCAUUCCUGGAGGCCAGGUGCCCACCAGCCAGCCUGCAUUGGGCCCUGCAGGGUACAAAGACUGGAAGAUAAGCCUCUUCCUCUGAAUGAUAGAUGCCUACGGGCCCCACCUACUUACAAAGAACCCUCAGAUGAUUCUGUCAGCCAAGGAAGGGGCCUAACAGUGACUUACACAUCUCUGCAAAGACACUCAUGGAAACUACCAUACUAAUGAACAUAGUCCUUUAUUCAUCAACGUAAACAGAAAACCAAAGAUUGCAAAUAUAUUAGGAAAACCAACAGCAUGGAAGAGAAGAUCCAAGUUGGACCAAUAGAAAAAUUGACCUUGGAGGAAACAGAGAUAAUUUAGGAAAGAAAGAUUUUAUAAAAAUUGUGGUCACUAUCUUCAGAAUAAUUUGAGAAGAUGCUGCAUUCAAGAACUGAGAAGAGGUGGCUAUGGGAAAGGAACAAGCAAAGAACAAGAAAAGAUUCUUGGGAAUUAAAAGUGGGAUUGCAAUAGGGAACACUCAAUAAGUGCGCCAAAUAAUAAAUUGGAUGCAGCGAAAGACCAAGCAGUUGAUCUGGAAUCAAGGAAUCUCAGAAUGUAGAGCAAGAAAAACAAAGAGACAGCAAACAUAAGAGAGUGCCAAGGACAGACACAGAGAUCCAGCAUCUGUCUGAUUAGGAAAGAACAGAGAAAAUGAAAGAGAGAGAAUACCCAAAGAAGUCACAGAACAACAUUUUCUUAAGCUCAAGAAAUAUGUGAGUCUUUAAGACUGAAAGUGUUCACUGAACAAAAUUAAGGUAAAAGGGUUAAACUCUUAGGCAUGGUGGCUCAUGCCUAUAAUCCCAGCACUUUGGGAGGCUAAGGCAGGAGGAUCACUUGAGCCCAGAAUUUCAAGACUAGCCUGGGCAAUAUGGUGAGACCCCAUCUGUACAAAAAAUUUAAAAAUUAGCCAGGCGUGAUGUCGCACACCUGUAGUCCCAGUUACUCAGAAGGCUGAGGUGGGAGGAUCACUCAAAUCUGGGAGGUGGAGGCUGCAGUGAACUAUGAUUGCACCACUGCACUCCAGCCUGGGGCAACACAGUGAGACCCUGCCUCAAUAAAAAGAAAAAAAUAAGAUUAAACCUCCCUCACUAGCAUUCUCAGUUCUCCUUACUCUAUUUAUUCCUUUUUUUGAUAGCACUAUAUAAUACUAGCACACUACAUAAUUGUCUUAUGCAUUAUGCAUAUUAUUUAUGACCUGUCUCCCCUGCUAGAAUGUAAGUUCCAGGAGGGCAGGAAUCUUUGAUUUGUUCCCUAAUGAAGCCCAGCACCUUGAACAGUGCCUUGCACCCUGGAGCCAUCAGUAAAGAUACGUCAAAUUGAAUUAAAAUCCAGACACAUCUUGGUACAAUUUCACAACUCCAAAUAUAAAUGGGAAAUCUUAAAAUCUUGGGGAUUUCCUAGAAAGAAAAAGAAACAGAACUUUCACCUGACAUGAACAACAUUGGAUCCUGGACAACAAUGAAUAACAUAACAUCUUCAUAGUUAGCAAGGAAGAAAAGCUUGGUACAAUCUAAACCCUGCCGAAGUACCAGUUAUUUGUAAAGGCAAUCGUAGGGCAUUUUCAGACAUACAAGAACUUGGAACAUUUACUGUUCAUAUUCCUUGGAUGACAAAAUUAUUCAAACAUAUUUUCCAGCAAAAAUUAAAGGAGGGUCCAAGAAAAAGGACAACAUGGGAUACAAGAAAUUGAAACCCCAAAGAAGUGAAAGAAGCCAGCAAGAGAUUAAGAGGAUUCAUCAUUUUCAGAUGCCCAAAAGGAUUUCCUUGGACCAACAUUUCAAAUGGCAUGAGGAUUUACAUUUAUUAAUAUUCCCUGGCUCCAGUCAUAUUAAUUGGUUCUUUUUUUAAUGGGGGUUUUCCAGUAAAAAAAAACAAAAAACAAACAAACAAAAAAAAGAAAACCUGCUAGACAAAUUCUAAAAGAGCUGUAACAAUUGGUUAUUUAGUUAAUAAUAUUUACAUAGUCACAAAGCUGAAAUGCUAUUUAAAAGUUUUUAAUUUUUGAAACAAUUAUAGGCAAAACAUAGAAAACUUACUUGGAGUUACAAAAUAAAAUGUAAAUUUUAUAAACGUUUACCCUGUAAGAACAGUAACUGACAAAAAUUGAGGUGAGGGCAGGGGGUGAGCAGAAAAUAUGCUUCUUUUAAAAAAAAACAAAAUUGAAAUCCCCUCUGCAGUCCUGGUCCUCUCUCUCCAUCUGUAGAAGCAAUCACUCUCCUGAAAUUG